CUUUUGGGCUUCUGCUGGGCGGGGGUGACCUGAGGCGACCCCCAGCAGUUCCCUUCGCUUCCUGAGAACAGCCCCAACCCGCCUCAUCCACUCCCCACCCACACCUCCCCUCAAGGAACGGGAAGCCUCUAAACCCUCGGCUCCAUCACAGGCUGAGAAGGGGAUUUCUCUCCCCACCCUCGUCCCCGUUGGAAUCCGCCUCCCCUCAAGGUGACCUUGAGAUCUGCCGUCGAUCUCAGGAAGCCCUUGCUUAGAGGAGUGGGGAUAACUGGGGAAUUCGAGACCUAGACACCCGGGAGACUGGGAGCCGCCCGGAGUCGUCUCCUUGGCCCGGGUUGGGGAGGGACUUUUUUUCCAGUGGCAGUGGAGGAAUCGUCCCGUUGAGCAGUGCCCCAGUGACGCGGCCCAGGGCUAUAAAAGCAAAAGUUGUGGCCUGUCCAGUAGGAGUUAGCCACAGGGAGGAGUAGGGGCUUGGGCUUAGUUGUGGAGGGCGGAGUUGGAUAGUUUAGGGUCUUAGGAGAUAGAUGAGAGAUAUGGCAGCGUUAGAUGAGGCUGGGGAACUUGGGGUGCCAAGAGAAGGAAGGUUAACGGGGGGACUAGAUCUUGGGGAAAUUGUGCUGGGGAGAGCUGUGUUGAAAGGGCCCGCAGUAGCCCAAGGGGAAGACGACACCCCAGGCCUGGCUGUCGCAGCUGUCUGCUGGAGCAGGGGAACUUGAACUUUGGGUGGGCGCCGCUCCUGCGUAGGCUGAGCGGGCCCCCGGUGCCCGGGUUUGUGUAGGAGGAGGAAAGCAGAGACGGAGAGGUGGAGGGGAGGACUUGAACUUGUAAAUACCAGCAGUCCCUUUUUUUCCAGACAAAGGGUUGUGAGCCCGCCUGGGGAUGAGGCCUCGUGUGGUGGAAGCUGCACUUAGCUUCGCGGGGCUGACAGCUUUGGCCCAGGGCGGUAUGUAAGUCUGGCUCGGCCCGGGACAGGGUCCAGCCAGGCCCAGCCUGGUGAAACCCAGGUCUGGGUGUGAGGGUGGUCCUAGGGAGUGAGUGAGGAGGUAAGGUGCCGGUCCAAGCGGUUACUGGUAUGUUUGGCAGGCGGGGGCUGUAGGCGAACAAAAUUGACCCUCACUUUAUUUUCCAGGUGGCAGUGCUCCCCUUUGGACUUUUCCUCUAGGUUCCUCGCUAACCUGUUCUGUGAGCUCACUCUGCCCCCUCUCCUCCCCUUCACUCUCUCGAGGUUACCCAUUCACUUAAAACAUUGCUUCUGGUAAUCUGGUAAGCCGGGAAAGUUGUUCCCAUUGGAGUCGGUAUCUUGGUAACCGUGAAGAGGAGAGGCAGCCCCUGCUGAGACUCUGGGUGGGCGGGGUGGUGUUGCUUGCCAGUGGAGAGGGUGGGGAUUGAAUGUGCACCCUUGGGUGGGCCCGCAGCGACGGUACCAUCUAAAAGCUACGAAAAUGCCUCAUGGACGGUGGUUUGUUACUGUAGUGUUCAUCAUGGCGAUCUGAUGGCACCAGGAGAAAUGGAGCCCCUGGCCAGUGUGAGUCGUAGCGGUGCAGGAGGGGAGACCCUGGAGGAAAGAACCCGUCUAAAUUGCUGUCUGCAGAGUGAAUUUCCAGAGGCUUAGGAGGAGGAAGUUCUCCAGUGGCAUGUUUCCAGGCCUUGCUCAGGAACCCCUGUAUUCAGGAGGCCAUCCUUUAAGGUUUUCAUGAGCUUAUGAGGGGCAGUCUUUAAAAGGCCAAAGCAGAUGGAUCCGGGGCCGUCAGCAGAUGUGUUGCUUUGAGUGUUUGAUCCGGGAGCAACGAUCUCUGGGCACGUGAAUGUCAGCAGGCCGUUUCCUGGGUUGGAGGUUUCAGAUGCUGCCAUCUUCUAAAUUGAGUCUCCUGUCAUACUAGUGUGCCACGAACCUUGUUUCCAGAAGACUCUUAAGCUGUAGAACAUUUUAACGCUGAUGCCACAACUCAGAUGAUGCCUUGUAGAUGGAGCUUGCACAUGGAUCCCAGUGACCCUCAUCUACCCACCUGCCUGCCUGUGCUUUUGUCGGAGGAGUUCUUAGUGUGAUAUAUAAUGUGUGUGGGAAAGCGUUCCAGAUUGAAAUACAUUAGGCAAAUACUUAAAUGAAGCCAACUGACUUAAAUGAAGCCAACUGGCGAAGUGGGGGUGGGGGUGGGGUGUCAUUGUGCUGUGCUAGGUGGGAGGGUGCUGGUCAUAUCCAGAUUGUGAUAAAAAUGGCAGAUUUAGUUUGGUCACUUUUGUUACCAGAAGGGAAUAGUCAGGGUACCGAUAGUAAUCUGUUCAUCUUGCUCUAUAUGCUUCUUAACUUAACUUAGUUGAUUAGAUUUCAGAGGAAUCUUUGUGUUCAAAGGGGAGGGCCCUGAGGUGAGGGGUUGAGGGGUGGGAAACAGCCUGGCCCUGGGGAGGGUGAGCUGAAGAGAAGGCUGUGAUUAGGUGUGGCUGGCGGAGGGUGGGAGGGGUAGGGAAAGUGGGUGGAAGGGAAUUCUCUGGAGAAAAGAUCAGUAGGCAGAACUCUAGGGGAUAGAGCUCAAAGGCAAAGAGAAUGCUAGUUAAUAGUACAUUGUUAAUGAUAGUUAAAUUGUUACUUGAAGUUUCUACAGUGCUUCAAACUGCUAAGGGUGGGGAAGGCAAAAAGCAAAAUUGUUUUGCUUUGCUAUAAGAAGGGGAAGGCUGAAAAGGUAACUGAAACCUCAGUCUCUUGAAAGAUGGGUGUCAGGGACUUGCAUCAGCAGAUUAACAUCUUUCACUCCUUUGCAAAUUUCUUAAGUGGUUUAUCUGAAGGUGUGCAAUGUUCAGGGACUAGUUUCAGAAAAUACUUACCCAAAUUGUGGGCUUUAAAGUAUUUUGAGAUUUUGGUACGCAUUUAGAUGCCCUCUUCUGGGUUUGUAACAUUUUUGUUCACUUGGUAUUUUGCAGUUGAAAGUUUGAGCAAAGUGAAAACAAUGAUUUCUAAAGGAAUUUUGUAUGUUACUUCUUGCUCUAUAAACAUCUUAUCUUUUCUUUGUGAUGAGUAAUUAGUAAUAGCCAAAGCUUUUUCUUUUCAUCCUCAUUGUAACAAGGAGAACUUAAAUCGUGAUCACUCUCUAAUUACUGUAAUAUUUGGUAGCAAACAAUCUAUGUACCCUUGCUAAGGUUCCAGUUAAUAGUUCACACCAUCUUCAGUUUGAAUGUUUGUGUUAAGUGAAGGAGUACUAGAGGGGAAACUUAACCAAAAUCAGGUAGGGAAAUAAAGAGUGAAACUGGGGGUGGGGAGUUAUUUCCUGGAUUAUGGUGUUUGUAAAAAUUUAGGGAAGUAGCAAUCCUUUGUGAUAAAGUAAUACCAGUGACUCUAUCCUGUCCAUUUUUCCCAUUGAAUUUCGUUUUGAGAAUUUUAAACCCUCAGUACUUACGACAUGGAAUUUUUCUGGGUUCUUUAAAAUGUUUACAAGUAUGUUGAUAGUUGCGUUCUUAACCUGUAACUUGGGCAUGUGAUACAGUUACUGUCAUUGGAAUUUAAAGAGCAUUAGUCAUGCGUGUAUGGGGAAAUAUGUUCCGGUAAGCUGUUGUGAAAUUGAAACUGUAAAAACAGGUGGAAAGGAAUCUUUCAUGUUGCUCUGUAUGGUAAGAACCAGUCCUUGUCGCGUCAUGUGUGUAACUACUAACACUUUUCUUCCCCUUUACAGCACGAAUAAAGGUUUGCGUUCUAAACUCAUUAGAAUUGCUUGUAUUGCUAUAUUUUUUCAACUCUGAUUUUGUCUGUAUGUCAUGAAGCGAAAUGUACCUUCAUACUGUAGACUUAGGCUUAGAUUGACUAAUGUAACUCCAGACUGAGGUCGUUGAGCUCAGUAUGGUAACCUCAACAGAACUGGUAGGUCCUGAAUGGCCUGCGUCCCCAGUGGCAGUUGGGGAUGGACUCUGCUGACUGGGAGUGUGUGAUGGUUGUGCAAAAUGUGGUGACAAACCACAAGCCAACGAAGGUCAUUGUCAGGGUGGGGAGACUAUUUCCUAACUUCUUGGAAUUUUACCGAAUUAUAUUUCCAAAUCGUUUGUUAAAAAGGGGAUCUCUCUUGAUGACUGUGAGCAGCCUAACAAAUGGAAAGAACAUGUAAUAUACGUUUGACAUACUUGUGGUCUUUGGGAGGCUGGAAUGUGUCUAGGAUUUGGGUUUAAGCACAUACUUCUCAUUUUACUAAUUGCAUAAGUGCUGUGCUAAGCAAUUUGGAAUCCAGGGUGUGUGUUGUGUCUAAGCUGCCCCUGUGUCCUGGGCGGGGAGAGCCCAGCAGUGAUGCUGGGAGCUCGUUUUUGUGCUGCUGUUCUGUGUUCAUUGGGGCCCUAAGGUUUUGCUUUACAGGAGAUGAACUUAGAAUAGAAACCACCACCCGCCUCUGCUGAGGCGGCUUUUAUGUCCAAGGGAGUGGGAAGGGGACAGGGACAGGCUGUUCUGUGACCACAGUGAGGGGCUGGGAGAGCAGCUGGGUGUGGCCCCUGCAGAGACUGGAAUUAGGUGCCCGCCUGUCCUGAGGCUCACAGCUGUGCAGGUUCAAGGAUUUUUCCCCUGCUCAGCACCCUGUUCUUGAUUUCCCCAGAACAAUCUAGGCUUCCUUUCCUACCUUGCCCUUCUUGUUUUUGCUCAGUUCUUUUCUGCCUGCCUUGCCUUUUUUUGGAACUUAUUUUUCCUUUUGUUUUUAUACAGUGAUUACCAAACUCAGGGUAGCUGCUAUGAGUGUCUCUGGGUACUGUUACCUAGCGAUUGGUGGGCUGAUGAAGAGUUUCUCCACGGGGGUGUAAAUGUCGUUGAAAAGGGGACUGUGAAGUGGGCCUGAUGGUUCAGGAGCAGAGCAGGCAGCUGGAGGCUGUACCCACGCCCUCCUGGCUUCUGCCUUGUCCCAGGGCCCUGCCUGUUCUUUAUCCUCUGUUCACAGGUCAGGUGGGAUAUGUCAAAGGUAUCGUUGAUGGUGUUGGUGAUCACUGCUGAUCGGUUUGCAUCCUCAUACAUAGAUCUGAAUUCAGCCUUCCGUCUGAACUCUGAGAGGCAGUGGAUGGUACAAUGAAAUUCAGGGAGUGGGCUUGUAGCAUUUAGGUGGAAAGUGGAGAUCUGGUGCAGCUAAAUGUAAUGGGGUAUAAAAAUAGCAAGAGGUGAAUUUGGAAGUUCUUUCAAAAAGAAAUAGCCGAAGAGGAAGUGUUGGUUGAGGCUCCUUUGUGGGCCCAGACUGGACACCCUGAGAACUUUGUAAAUGGCCUGUGUUAACAGAAGGGUUCCUCACCCCCACUUCACUCUGUUGGCUGCCCUUGGUUUGUCUUACUGGUUGUGGCCGUGGCCAGGGCUAACCUCUUUGUGUACUUAAGUUUCUGGAGGAAAUGUUAACCUCUGGCCUUGGGCAGUACUUGCUAUUGUGCAGUGCUGAUGUUACAUGAAAUGGCAAGACAUGCUUCAGAUAUUUGUGGUAAGUUUUAAAUGUUUAUGGGAGGUGGGAGGGGGGGUUCAGGAUUGGGAACUCAUGUACACCCGUGGCGGAUUCAUGUCAAUGUAUGGCAAACCAAUACAGUAUUGUAAAGAAAAUAAAGUAAAAAUUAAAAAAAUAUAAAUGUUUAACAUGCAAAAAUACACAGAUGCAGUCGAAAUGACAAGAGAAAGAUAGCAAAAUAACCAAAAAUAAGAAAGCUGUGUUUAGGGAGGGUGGCCUUGACCUUCCUCUGGGUGAAGGCAGCCACUCCCACCCUCUGGUCUCCCAAGUAGGACGCCUUCUGCUGAAGGCUCUACCUUCCGGGGCCCCUCAGCAUUGCACCAACAUCCCUUUUAUUUUAAAUAACUGUUAGUUCUCAUGUUGUAAAAUGGGUUUAUUGUAAAGUUUACAAAUAAGAAAAUUGACAAAAACAAACUCCUCAGUAAUCUUAUUGAUAAUUGUUAUUGGCCUCUUUGCUUCUAGAGGUUUGUUGUUUUUCCCAUGCAUAGGAUAUAUACCUUUUUACACAAAAUUGGAAUUAUACUGUAGAUGCUGUUGUGCAGCUCUUUUCACCUAGGCAUCUUUGUGGUGACAUAAUGUUCAUUGUGUGACUUAAUCAAUUUAAAAUAUCUUCAUUUAGACAACAUGGAAGUUAUUUUCCACUUUUUCUUAGUAAUGCUGUGAUAACCCUCCUUCUAGCUCAGACUUUAUCAUAUCUGAUAGUAUUUCUUGGGGAUACAUGAAUAUAUUUCAACACAUGAAUUGCCUUUGUCAGACUUAUUACGUCUAAGUUCAUAUUGCUAAAUUGCCCUCCUGGGAGGGGUUUGUAAAUAGUGUCCUCAAUCUUAAGGUAAACCUUGUCCCUACUUUUUCUCAAAUGAGGUAGUUUCACACUAAAAACCUUUGCUCCCCUUUUGGGUCCAGGCAGCUUUUUGUGUGUGUGAGCCCUGCUAGUGUACUGAACAUCUGUGUGUUUUGACAUCUGCAGUGUUGUGUGUGCAUCCAUGUGUGACUUUGUACUUUGAAAUGGCUCGUUUUUCUAUUUUGUAAAAGCACUUAUGUAUCACUAAUGCUUCAUUCUCUUUGAUGCAAAUAUUUUUCCAGUUUGUAGAUUGCCUUUUCAUUUGUUUUUCAGUCAUACAAAAGUCACAGUUUUUCUGAGUCCAUCAUUUUUCCUGUGGUUUCUGUACUUGUGUUAGUUUAGAUCUCUCCCAAUCCCAAAGCAUGUAAGUAUUAAUCUCUGUUAUUUUGUGACAAUUGUAUGAUUUCAUUUUUUACAUUUAAACAUUCACUCCAACUGGAGUUUAUUAGCAGACGGGACUGGGGGUUGUGUGUGUGUGUACAAGGGGAGGCCUGGUACCCCCUCAGAGCCCCUGGGCUUGCUCCUUCCCUGUGGCUGGAUGAUGGAGUGGCAGAGAGUGCUUUCAGCUGGGAGACUUGUCACAACUGGACAGUUCACUGAAGACUUGCGGGCAGGUGGCCGUUGUGUUAACUGAGCCCAACUGGGGGCGGUUCUGGUGCAGACAGACGUGCAGAUCUACUCCUGACUGGGAGCAGUUUCUGAGCCUCUCGGGGCUGGUUUUCCUCCUGUGUGAGGUGGGAGAAUGAAUGGAUGUCUGUAUUUGGCACGUGGCCGCUCCUCAUUGAGUGGUGAUGGUGAUUCCUUCGCCUCCUUCGUGGCCAGCCUAGGUCCAGCCUCUUCCUUCUGGUUCCCACUACUCACUCACCUUCUCUGGGCCUUUCAUGUAGUGUAAUCUGUGUACAUGUUCUGGGCUGUUCUGGUUUUCCACCUUAAGUUUGUUUCCAUGCAGAUUUUUUGUAUUAGCAGAGUCCACAAAUGUGUUGGAAGUGCUUUUUCUCAGGGAUAUUAAUUCUCCCACAGAAAUCCCAUGGAGGACUCUUGUAGAAGCCUGUGAGUGCUCUGAAACUUUGUAGAAGAAGCCUGUGAGUGCUCUGAAACUGUUUUUCCGCGGAAACCAUAAGCUUGCUGAAGGGGGUUCAUGACCUCAAGAAAAUACCAUGAAUGAACAGUUGCAUUACUUUAUCCUAUUGUGCAUAUGCUAUAACACGUUGAGCCGGUCUCUUAAGUUGUAAACAGUGUUUUAACUUUUCAUUUGUGCUAGUAUGAGCAUCUCAAGUUUUGUGAAAAUAUGUAAAUAUGUAUUGGUAGAAAUAUAUAUAUAUAUAUCCAUAUCUGUUCUCUAGGGUGGCACAGCCUGGUCACUGAGCAGACUCUCAGAUACUUUCCAGAUACCUUACACUUACUUUUGUGAGAAUAUCUAUUUCCUUUCAUAACUGCUAGCAUCAGGUUUUUUUGUUUUAUUUAUUGCUACUUUCUAAAGAAAUGAGUGGUAAAAUAUGCAUAACAUGCAUCACCAUCUUAACCAUUCUACUGUACAGUUCAGUAGCGUUCAGAUAAUCUCCAGAAUUUUCUCAUUUGGCAAAAUUGGAACUCUGUACCCAUUAAACUCAUCCUCUUCUCCCUAACCCUGGGCAACCACCAUUCUGCUUCUCUGUUUCUAUGAGUUUGAGAACUCUGGGUACCUCGUAUUAAGUGGAAUCAUAUAAUAUUUGUGUUUUGUGACUGGCUUAUUUUAUGUAGCAUAAUGUCCCCUAGGUUCAUCCAUAUUGUACCAUGUGUCAAGAUUUUUUUCCUUCUUAGAAGAAUAUUGCAUUGUAUGUAUACAUCACAACUUGUUUAUCCAUUGGACAUAUCUAUUGAACAUCUCAUCCUUGAACAUUGGGUUGCUUCUACUUUUAAGUUGUGAAUAAUUCUGUUACGAACAUGGGUGUACAAAUGCCUUUUUGAGACACUGCUUUCAAUUCUUUUGGAUAUAUACCCAGAAGGGGUAUGGUUGCCUCAUAGGAUAUCGUUAUGUUAAAUUUGGGGAGAACUUUCAUACUAUCUUCUGUAGCAGCUGCACCAUUUUAUACUCCUAUGGACAAUUUACAAGGUUUCAUAGCCUCACCAACACUUGUUUUUUUAGUGUAGCCAUCUUAAUGGGUGUGAAGUGAUAUUUCAUUGUGAUUUUGAUUUACUCUUCCCUAAUAGUGGUGUUGUAUCUUUUCAUAUGCUGUCUGCCCAAUUCUGUAUCUUCAGAGAAAUGUCUUUUCACCUUUGCCCAGUUAAAAAAAUGGUUUAUUUGUUUUUUGUUGUUGAUUUAUGGGGGUUAUUUACAUAUUCUGGAUAUGAACCCCUUAUCAGAUACAUGGUUUACAAAUAUGUUUUUCCAUUCCAUAGGUUGCCUUUUCACUGUUGAUUGUGUCUUUUGAUGCACAGAAGUUUCUAAUUUUGAUGUAAUUCAAUUCAUCUGUUUUUACUUUUGUUUCCUCUGCUUUUGGUGUCAUGUCCAAGAAACUGUUGCCACGUUGAAUGUUAUAAAGUAUUUAUUGUUGCUUUAUUUAAAAAGUACUUACGUGGUCAGCCUGUAUUUCUGUAAUUACUGUUUAGUCUGUUUUACCACUUGAUUUACCAUUUGUAUUUUUUCUUUGACCAUUUACCAAAUGUAUAAAAUUGACCAAAUAUAUAAAAUUUCUAUAUUUUAUAAAGAUCAUGAAUUCCUUGUAUAGUUGGGAAGGGAAGCUUUUGCCAGUGAUUAUCAAACUUACUCUCAUUUUUUCCUUUUACUGUUGUGCUUAGAAAGUAUUAUACAAAGACAUUUUAAAGAUUGAUGUAACAAGACUAAUAGUAACAACUAAUACGUUUAACUUCUGAUUACUUUUUCUUUAGUAGCUAAACGUGUGUACUCCCACCUUACAGUAAAUGCUCUUCUCCAUUUAAGGAGUUAUGUAUCCAGCCUGCUUGGUGUAUCUAAACUGAUUACACUGACAAAGUUGAAUUAUCAGACUUUAAGCAAAUACUGUCAUCGUGCUUUUGUUGCAGGUCUGUCUGUAUUAGCUGCUUGUAAUUAUCUGCCUGAAUCUACUUCUCACAUUUUUAGUCUUUAGUUUUUGCUGUUUCUAAUCAAAUGCUUUGGAUUUUAAUGACUAAGUGUUCAUUAUAAAAUCUAGUAAGUGGAAGAUAUGCUACUCCUUAAGGCAAGAAUAUUCUUUCUCUUUGUUGGAACUUGAGCACACAGAACUGGGUUAAUCUUUGGUUCGAGACGUAAAACAUGGCUGUCUUAUAUUUGGUUCCGUGAUGUUUUGAUGCUGUGGCAAACAGUUUUGAAUCUUCUAGUAUAUAACUAGGACAUUUAGACUGUGACUUUGGCCACCUAUGGGGUUCUACUCGUUUCCCUUCCUGCCUCCCUCUAAGCCAAAGUAGUUAUGAUCCUGAAUACUAAGUUUCUCUUUUACUUCUUCUUUUCUCAUAUAACUUUGGAAAAAGAAAAAAACUUACCUAAGUGAACUAUAAUUUUCAUUUUAGUAGUUUUUAACUUUAUAGAAAAAGUAUAAGCUUCUGGAAUUUUUCUCAUUUAAUGGUAUUAAGAUUCAUCCUUUACCUUGUGCGUAAUUUUGGAGUCUAAUGUGACUAUAUGGACAUAGUUAAUGAUUCCAUUUUUCCCAUUGUUUUUUAUUCUGGUCAGUGUAAUUGGAUAAGUGGUAGGUGGAUGCUCUCUUAUACAGAAUUAAAGCUUGACUGACUAGGUUGUCACACCACCCCCCGACCCCAACCAACCCCACCUUGAGUGCUGUUUCCUGCUAGACCUUUUUCUAUACAUUUUAAUCCACAUUUAAUAUUUAAAAAAUCUAUGUAAGUGGGAAAAUACUGUUUUAUACCAUAUAUCAUUCCUGACUUGCCUUUUUCAUUUGGCAGUAGGGAGAUUCCCAUGAGUACGUGUUGAACUGCCAGCCUUGUAUUAAGCGGCUGGGUACUAGUCCUUUACUUAGAUGUUCCAUGAGUUAUUUAGACCUGCUGCUGCUGGUGGAUAUUUACACUAUUUCCAGUCCCUUUGGAUGCUGUGUGAUCGUUGUCAUACACACCCUGUGUGCAUACACAUGAAUAUUUCUCGGAGUAGGUACCAAAAUGUCAGACAUUGUAUGCUCAGUUCUGCCCGGUUCUCCGGAGUGGGUCUACAGAUUUGCUUGCCAGGGGAUGAGUGUAUAUGUGCAUAUCCUCUCUGACAGUCUGAAAAGCAAGCUCUAAGAUUCCUGCCAGUUGCUGUCUCUGAUCUGUCAUGGAUUCACAGUGACCCACUGAGACUUUAAUGGGUACAAUGGACUCUUGCCAUCUGUGGGUUUAUAUUUGUGGACUUGAAGCUGAUGGAGGUGCCAGAAUGCAAGGCAUAUAAUCAUUUGUAAUCUUCUUAAAGUACAAUUUUUUCAAUUAUUCAUGUCAUAAGGCUACUGAGAAUACCCAGCCAAACACUCUCCAUCCACGUCCCCCUGUGGCUUUGUUCUGCACUUGUCUCUGCAUUGCAGCAACUCUUGAAGGGACCAAAACUUGGAAGAUUUAGGUAAGUUCAUGGCUAAUGUUACUAUACUGUGUACUGUGGUAAUGGAUGGGACUGUGGAAUGUACAUUUGUGGCAGAAUUUAUAUUAAUCCCUCUAUAAAUCACUAGUUUUGCAUUUAAAUUUUAAACAGUAUGUAGAAAAACAUAGAACAUAGAUGUUUCUCUGCAGUUCUUCUCCCAAGAAUAGUUAUUAAUAGAAACUUCAUUUAUUGUCCUUCAGACAUUUCCCCUCCGUGGACAUACAACAGUUUUAUCCUGUUAUUAUCUGCUCAGCUGCAAACAUGCAAACAUCUUUAUUAUUUUCAUGAUUCUAUAAUGUUUAUUUAAUCUUGCGCAUGUUGGCAUAGUCAUUUUAACCGUUUUCCUGUUGUUGAGUUUCUAAGGUGAUUUCCAGGGUUUUCUGGCCAUACAGAUAGUGCUGCAGUGAGCAUCUUGUAGAUACCUCUUUGCACAUGUGCUAUGCCAGCCCUCAGCUCAUGAUGCCUGCAGGAAGCGUGAGCUCCAGGCACACCUGCUCCACACGCCCUGUAGCCAGCUCUCCUACCCCGGUGCUGUCCAGGUCUGGGACUCACAGUCUUGUGAGGUGGCUUGAGAGUUUCUGCUGCCCAAGUAGAAUAAUGCUGGUCUUCUCCUAAUGUGCUGUGAAAUUCAGUUGAAACUGCUUGUUCAUAACCAGAUUUUAACUGAAGAUGGUGUCCGACUUUUUAGCACAAAACAAGGACAGGCCUAACAAACCUCAAUCUUUUCCAGUGUUCUUCCCCUAAGCAGGUUGAAAAACAAACUCUUCUAGAAAAGCAGUUGUGACGUUUGCAAAAUUACCUUCUGUGUUUGGUCUGUUGAAACCUGACUGGCAGCUGUCUGCAGCAUUUCUGUCCUCAGGGGAAAGAGGUGUGUGCAGGUGAGGCACAGUCUGCCCCCUGUCUUCUCAGCACUGCCUCGGCUGCUUUCUGGUUUAGUAUGUGCUCGCUCUCCUCUGAGAGGCCACCCAGUGGCAGGAACACGGGUGUGAAUCCCUCUGUCUCUCUCUCUCCUCUUAGGGUCAGUCCCCCCAGCCUUGUUCUCUCCCCGCAGCUUCUGGGGUGAUGGCUGCAGUGUCCCCCUUACUCUUCUGUCAAUGUGACAGCUGUGUGACCCGUCGUCUUGGUGUCAGAUCCAGGCCCUGCCUCUGCCCUGAGCUGACCCUAAGGGCAAAGACUUCUCUAAUUCAAUGUAAAGGUGUAAAAAAUGUUCAGGGUAAAACCUGCACAUGUUAAAAUCCAAACCCAUAAGAGUUACCAUGAUGUUUUCCCCUCUAACCCCUGGCCCUCCCUUCCCGUAGAGACUGCUAUUGUGGCCAGUUAGUUGCUGGAGCUUUCUGGAGAGCUCGUGUAUGUAUUUUGCUGUGAGGCCCUAUGUUACACUGGAUGGUUCAGAUAACAGUGCAUUGAGCUCGCCGUGUACCUGUAUUCUUGUCUGCCUUGGUGUAGUAUCUGUACAGGUCCAUGUUUGAAUUAUCCAUUCCCCUUUUGAGGAACAAAUAAGGUUGUUUGCAGCAACUUUUACUGUAUGUAAAUCUAUACUAAGUAUCCGUUUCUGUGUGUUUCGGUGUACACGGCAGCUGCAUCUGCGCCGUACGUUUCUUUUGAGGGAAAUUCUGGCCCGUAGUUCGUUCCUUUCCAAAAUGAGGGAGCCGUCAGCUUACACUCCAGGAAGGCUGUUCUGGUUGACCAUUCCCUACACCUUUACCGACACUGUUCUUGAACUUAUUUGUCUAUGUGAAAAGUAAAAACAGUUAUGUCAUUGCAGUUUUGAUUUGCAUUUCUGUUGGGCUGUGCACUUGGGGAUUUUUAAGAGCUCUUAGGGCUCCCCUUGUGGCUCAGCUGGUAAAGAAGAGCUCUUAACAUAUUAGUUAAUAACUCUUUGUCAUUUGUGCUGCAAAUACUGUUUGUCAUUUACCUUUAAAUUUUAUGCUUCUAGAUUUUUUGGUGUUCAAGAGUUUUAAAUAUAUUUAAGCUUUUUUAUGAGUGUUUUCUUUUAUGACUACUGAAUUUUAUGAGAGGAAAUGGCAACCCACUCCAGUACUCUUGCCUGAAAAAUCCCAUGGAUGGAGGAUCCUGGUGGGCUACAGUCCAUGGGGUCGCAAAGAGUUGGACACAACUGAGUGACUUCACUUUCUUUCUUGUCUUUCAGAAAGACUAAUCCAGCUCAAGAUUAUUUUUUGUUAAACCUUGUGUAUUACCCAGUUCUUUUAAGGUUUUAUUUCUAUUUGAAUCUUAGCUCCAUCUGGACUUUUGCCAUAAUGAGUAACUGGCAACCCGCCUAUCGUCCCUGCACCUUACUGGUUUACGUGCCUGUUCCCCAUUUGUCUGCGCAUGUUGCAGCUCCAGUUCCCCACACUGUGGCUCUGUGCCCCACUAUGUGGUGAGGAUAGGCCUGCCUCCUUUCACUCCCAGAUUUUCCUGGGGUUCGUGCAUGUCUACUUUUCCUUCCGUAUGAUGUCUUCAUGCUGUUGCCUCCUUGUGCAAGGAUAAGGCAUGUCCUCCCGUUGACUCCCGUUAUUUUGAUUUGGGUCCAAAGGAUGUGGAAAGCUGUGGCCCAUUAGACUCAUCUUAAUCUGUCAGUAACUAAUAUUUUCAUGACUCUAAUGGUUACUCUCUCACAUUUGUAUGACUAUUUUAGCCAUUUUCUUACUGUGUGUCUGGGCGUCCCAACCUGCUUCCAGAGAGCCCCCAGCACCCACCCUCAGGAUCGCCCCCAUCACAGCACUUCAUGUUUUCCUACUGAGCCUAAUGGUUACUUGUCACUGUUGAACUUGCAAUGUCCUGUUCAGUGGACUUUACAGGUGAAAUGCUCCAAAACAUACUGCCAACAAUGCCAAUAGCUUUCUGCAGACCCAGCGUGAAGAAUGAAUUGGGCAUAUUCUAGGGUCACCUCCUAGGAAGGGAGUUCAGCUGGAGGGUUUGCAUUCUGAACCUCUGUCCCUGUGUGGCUGACUCCUGUCAGCUAGGAUGAUCUGUGUACCCAGAAUGUCUAAGGAGAAUCCUGUCCUGGAAAGCAGCGCCUGACCCUGAACUGCCUUUUUCUCCUGUCCAUGCCUGACAGACUGUUUACAAAAUGUCUUGCAUGCUUUCCUGCCUUAUCAGAGUGGUGCAAACUAGAAUUUACCAUUGCUUUAGUGUCUCAAGGCCACCAUCCACAUCCACAUUGUCCUGUCGGGCACAUGGCAGUUGAUUUGGGGUCUGCUUCAGUGGCCUGUUUGUCCCCUCACUGACCAUCCUCCCCAGCCCAGCCCUUCCUCAGGGUUGGCCCACCCCUCCUGUACCAGACUCGUGGUGUCUAUACUAGGGAUGAACUGAAGGUGACUGGAGGUGAGACAGCCAGGCCUUCCCUUCAGUUAUUUUAUUGUUUCACCUGUGCAUCAGCAGUGGCCUGCGUCUCUUCAGAGGUAAUGUGUAUGGGUUUGUUUUUCAACCAAACACAAUUCUGUUUUCUGAUUAUGAUUUUCUCUCAUUUACUGUUGAAAUACACCAGGAUGCUUUUCUUUGUCUUGGAAGACGUCAUUGUGCAGAAAUCUGAUUGUUUCCUUCGGGGAAUUUCUUACUGGUGACAUGACUGGCUCAGUGGGCACGGCCAGUGUGAAGGCUUUGGUCUCACCUUUCUGAGUGCCUUCUUGAAAGGCCAGCACACUUCAGCCCGGCCCUGCCCUUGGCAGUUUAAGCCAAACUGAUCGGCAGUUUAAGCAGUGUCUUAGUGUGUUAAUUUGCACAUUUUGACUCUAGGGCUGAAUAUACACUAAUCCGUGUGUGUUAGUUGAUCUCUGCAUCUGCUUUGUGCUUCACUUUUAUUUUUGUCGCUUCCUGAGAAUCCUUUUUUAUGUUGAGGACACAUACUGUAGAGAACUACAAAAUGUUUUUCAAGUUUGUAAUUUGCUUUUUAAGUUUACAUCUUGGAUCUUGCUGUUGGUUUUAAAUUUUGUAACCAAAUCUGAUUUUAUCAUUAGGGUUAUGUACUUCAGUGUCGCUGCGCAGCUUGUGGGAUCUUAGUUCGAAUCUAGACCUUGGAAACGCAGGGUUGUAACCACUGACCUGCCAGGGAAGUCCUUUUUCUGGUUCUUGUGUGGUUUCAUUUUUGACAUUUAACAUUUUUACUCCAUCUAGAAGUUUUUGUGUACAGUAUGAAGUAAGAAUCUAAUUUAGAUCUUUUGAAGUGGCUAACAAAUUUUCCCACACCUUCACUAAAUAAUUGGUCUCUCUACUGAUUUGUUAAUUAUGGGCUAAAUACUCUGAAUCUGUUCAUGAACUCUUCAGUCUGCUCCACUGAUGUCUUUUCUUGUGCCAACUCAAUGUUUUAAGUAUUUGGCUUUAUAAUAUCUGCUUUAAUAUAAGUAAUACAGGCCCCCGCCAUUCUUUUUUCAAGUAUUUGGAUUUUGUUGGAGUUGAAUUGCAUUUAUAUACAUGUUACUGAAACUUCCCAUUUAGGAACUAGCCUCCCUGUUAAUUCAAGAUAGGAUGAUUUUCACAUCUCUUGGGAAUUUUAGACUUCAUUCAAAUUAAGCACGUUUAUGAAGUAUGUUCCUAGAAGCAUUCUGUAUUGUGGUUGGAUACAUUUUUCUACUAAAAUUUCUGACUAUGGUAGCAUAUGGUAAGACUGGUUUUAUGUAUUUUAUAAACACAUUGAAUUUCAUUACUAGAGCCAGUUGAGACGCAGUAUAGCAUCUUGGCUGAAAGUGUGGACUUUCGAGUCAGGUGACCCUACUUUCAUGCUAGGCCUGCCUCAUUUCUGUGUGACCAUCUCUGCCUCGGUUUUCCCAUCUGUACAGGGAGAGGAAUGUAAUCGUAUUAUCUGAAGUGGGAUGAGGACUAAUGGAGCAAUGUAAGCUUUGUGCUUGGUGCUGGCCUGCCAUGGAGUGAGCACUGUUCAAAGUGGUUUCUAAGUAACUAAUGUCAUCUUUAAUCAUAUCAUCCGUAUGAUUUAUUCCUUUUCAUGCUUCUCUCCUGUCUUGUUUGCAUUGGCUGUAAUUACAUUGUGAUCCUGUUCCCUUCUGAGCCACCCAUUAGCAAAUGGAGGCGGCCACACAGGCAGCCCGCACCAGGUUGCCCAAGGGAGUGAUUGUUCUGCUGGUGGUCCUCAGGAUGAGUUGGGGUGAUCUGCUGAUAUACAUUUCAAAUUUCAAUAUUUAUGUGGUGUUUUUUUUUUAACAUGUACUUUGAAAUUCCUCAUUUUCCACUUGUGGUAAUACAAAGUUUCCUUUU
ensembl:lncRNA